GACGAACGCUGGCGGCGUGCUUAACACAUGCAAGUCGAACGGAAAGGCCCUGCUUUUGUGGGGUACUCGAGUGGCGAACGGGUGAGUAACACGUGAGUAACCUGCCCUUGACUUGGGGAUAACUUCAGGAAACUGGGGCUAAUACCGGAUAGGAGCUCCUGCUGCAUGGUGGGGGUGGGAAGGUUCGGCGGUUGGGGAUGGACUCGCGGCUUAUCAGCUUGGUGGGGGGGUAGUGGCUUACCAAGGCUUUGACGGGUAGCCGGCCUGAGAGGGUGACCGGCCACAUUGGGACUGAGAUACGGCCCAGACUCCUACGGGAGGCAGCAGUGGGGAAUAUUGCACAAUGGGUGGAAGCCUGAUGCAGCAACGCCGUGUGCGGGAUGACGGCCUUCGGGUUGUAAACCGCUUUCGCUCAUGACGAAGCUUUGUGUGACGGUAGUGGGUAAAGAAGCACCGGCUAACUACGUG
rnacentral:rRNA from 1 species